ACUGUUGCCGUGGAUGGGUCCCUGAGACUUUGCGAAGUAGGAGCCCUGUGUGAUAGUGCGUCAGAGUCGGGCCUGAGAGCAGUCCUGGCCAGGGCUUUAACAGGAUGGUCUCCGGAGCCUGGGAUUCUCGGAGGGCUGACCACCAGGAAGAAACCUCAGAAGGUAAGAUUGGGGAAGAUGCCAGGUGAUAGAAUCCACCCUGCCUCUGACAGCAUCCAAUCUGGAGCAAAGGCUUCUUUCAACCUUCCCCCAAGCUCCCAAUACAAGCCCAAAUUCUGGAACAAGUCCUUUCCAACACCUCCUUCAGAGAAGCUCCCUGGCUCCAGGCAGUGCUUGCUCCCCUCACUGCAGCAGGAAGCCUAACUUGCGAACUGCAGGUGUGCUCCAGGUGGUCACUGGAUGCAAGGUAUUGACAGAUGGAUCCCAUUGAUACCCCCACUGCAUAACCAUGUAAGCCUAUCAUCCCCCACUUGCACAUGAGGAAACGGAGGUCCACAGGGUGGGGAAGGGAAGACAUAAUUUGUCCUUCAAAUGCGAUACCGGUGAGAUGUGAGAGGCAGCAUCCCUCAUAACUCAGCAAGGCAGUGGGCACACUAGGACCCUCCCAGGCAGAUCGGGUGCGUGGUCGCCCCCAUUGCAUAGCAUGGGUGGGAGUUGGGGAGACCAGACAUGGGUCUCACCACCUCUGCACUGGCCCGACCUCUCUGCAGGCCCCCAGGACAGGGUUAGCAUCUGCUUGCUGGCAGGCCUGGCCACCAGAAGUAUUUGCUUAUGUCUAAGGUCCCUGUAGUUGUGGUUCACAGGAUUGGGGCUGCUCCUGAGAUUCAGCACCACACAGGCACUGCAUGGAACUGUGCUAUGGUGGUGGGCACUCGCUUUCCAGAUAGGGCCCAUGUUGCCAGCAGGCAUGAUGCAUCAUUUACCCUACCCUGAGUGCAAUAUGUGGUUUUAUAGAAAAAAACUUGGGCCAGAUGCGGUGGCUCACACCUGUAAUCCCAGCAGUUUAGGAGGCCAAGGUAGGCGGAUCAAAAGGUCAGGAACUCAAGACCAGCCUGGCUAAUAUAGUGAAACCUUGUCUCUAUGAAAAAUACAAGAAUUAGCCAGAUGUGGUGGUGGGCACCUGUAGUCCCAGCUACACCGGAUACUCCGGAGGCUGAGGCAGGAGAAUCGCUUGAACCCAGGAGGCAGAAGUUGCGGUGAGCCAAGAUCAUGCCACUGCACUCCAGCCUAGGCGACAGAGCAAAACUCCUUCUCAAAAAAAAAAAAAAAAAAAAAAAAAAGAAAGAAAAGGAAAAGUAUUUGUAGAUGAAUGAAGGUGAUUCCUUUGAAUAUUGAAAAUGAUUUUAUUUUAGCCAUUGGUCUGACACUCAUUCCGAUGGGGUGACAUGUGUCCCUGCCUUAGUCAUCAGAGCACAGGAGUUUGCUACACCUCCCCUCAUCUGAAGAUUCAGCCCAUGAGCAGGAACGCCUGUCUUUGUGUCAUACCAACAGAGAGGAUGUGUCUGGUUUCACCAUUCACUGCAGAGGCAGAAAUUACCCAGAAAGAAGAGACAGUCUGUUCCCGGGAGUGUGUCCUUUUGACCCCGCAUGGGGGUCAUCUCCCUUCCUUGGCCAGGACCCCCAACCUGAACACAGAGGUAGAGAACAUGUGAAGGGCUCCCAUUCCCAGGUGGUCCAGGGUGCAAGCUCUGAGCCUGUGGUCCUGGUCACUGCCCUUUUCUCCACAGCAUGGCAGUCACCAUCCUGGGCUGGGGUACAGAGGGGCUUUGCAGAGAUCAGCAUAACAAAAGCAUCACUGAGAUGCUGCAAUAGGAAACCGUGAUACCUUCGUGGGCUGCCAAGGCAGCCUAAGCUAUUUGUUGCUGCACUCAGUGUCCCCAGACAGCUGUGUGGCUGUCACUGCCUCUGAUGUGUCCAUUUUACUUCUCUUCUCCUGCCUCAGCUUCUGCUCUGAACUCUGUCUCUAACUUACAAGAAAUCAAGCUCACUGGAUUCUGAGCUCUUCGGGGUCAAGGACUGUGUCAGUAGUUCAUGUCUCUUUCUAGAGAUCACAGCUUAGUAUCUGGCACAGAGCAGAUACUCAGCCAAUGCCAAAUGAUUCAUUUGCCAGAAGGCUGAAUAUCAUCCAUAAUCCUAGUCAAUGCAAAUACAUUUUGCCGGUGGGGUGUGUUUGUCCUCUGAAGGCGUUUUCCCAGGCUUUGUAAAUACAUACAGGCCAUUUAGAAAUUUGAAUGUCAAAGAGUAAAGGAGCUUAGAAAGUAAGCAUUGGAGAAGUGUGGGAGGGUGGUAUUAUUUACAAAACAUUCCUGGGUCCUUGUGAGUUCUAUACACCCUUGAUGAGCACUGAUUCUGGGCCAGGCCAGACACCCAGCUGGACCCAGGAGAUACUGAGGUGAGUAAAGCCAAAAUGCCUCCAUUCAGCAGGAGGCGGGCAGUCACACCAAAGUGAUAAAGGCACAAAAUGCAGAGGCAGCAGAGGAGCAAUGACUACCUUGUUCCAGGACUCUGUGACCUCAGGGAGAGCUUUCAGAGGAGGACAUCUGUGCAAGGCUUGGAAGGAUGAACACAAAUUUGCCUAGCAGAAAAGGGAGCCAAGCAAAUCCUGAUGGAGAACAGCUUGGGUGAGAGUGUGAGCCACAGGAUUGAGGGGCUCAGGCAUGUAACUGGAGGAGCAGAAAGAAUGAGGGGAGAUAAAGUUGGGAGGUCAGCAGAGGUCAGUCACAGAAGGUUUUGAAUCCUGGUGAGGAAGCAAUGGGUGCUGCACAAGGGACAUGGGCCUGGAGGAGAUGCAGUUAGCUCUGAGUGAAGAUGGAGCAUGCCAUCCACCAGGGAACCACAAGAUGCAAUAGAAAUAAGAACCCUGAGAAGCCUGCACAAAGAAUGAGGGGCCCAGGGGUAGCACCAAGAAGGUCCCUGUCAGAGGCCAGCUUUGAACGGAGACAGAAAAGACUCUUGAGGGCCUCAGCUGCUGCAAACCUCCUCAAUAAAUCAUAUUUUACCUUCCAAUAUUUGCUAAAGAAUACUAACUAUUGGAAGAGCAAUGGCCCAUUGAUAAUAAUUAUUCCCUCAAUGUACAUUUUUUACAAUUCUCAAAAUGCUCUCGGUCCAGUCUCUCAUUGGAACCCCCAUAAAAUCCCAUUUUACAAAUAGGGAAAUGAGGCCCUGUGAUGUCACACCGAGGUUUGCAGCAGUUCCAGGAUAGAAA
rnacentral:lncRNA from 1 species